ACCUCAUCCCGAUUCCGGAUGCCAUAACUGAAAGAGAAGUAAAAGCACAGAGCGUCCAAUCUACAGAAGGGCACGUUUGUGACUCCUCACCUGAGGCUUGUGCGGGAUAACAGAGACCAGCCCUGAACCGCUGCUGGAGAGGAGCCGCAGGGCCCCUUCCACUGCUUCUCUGUGUCCCGUCCUGGCAGGGAGGCCUCCAGGGAGCUCCUUGCAGGAGGGCCUCAGUCCAAACAGGGACUCUCCUGGUCUCACACAUUCCCCAGGAACUGAUUUAAGAUCCCUCCUUCCCUUACGAGCCUCUGGAGAGGACCCCAGCCGAAUGGCAGGGCAUGGGGAAUCAGAGGGCCACAGACCAGAUACUUUCCUGCAGCUCAAGGCAUAGCCUGAACUUACUCUCGGAGCUUCCUCUGGUCCUCUGCGAGCUUCUCUCCUGCAGAGGUCAGGUGGUACGUCCUCCACACAUAGGACCUGCAAGAUGGGAAUUCAGUCAACCACGAGCAGGGUGAGCAGGGCAGCUGGGAUGCAACUGUGCCUGAGGAGGGCUCAAGGCGCUCAGCUCUGCGGGGCCUGAGGCCACCAGCCUCCUCCUUGGGCUCUUUCCCUGUACCUUGUGUGUACCAGGCCUGAGGCAGGUUCAAGGACGCACUGCUCUCAAAGGGAUGCAUGGGGUGGCUGGGGGCCAAACCCACGUUGCUAAUGAAACGGGUGGCUGUACCAAGACACAGUUAACCGGACACUUGAUCCAGAAGGAGACAGAGCUGAGAGCACCCAGGCGAGGAGCUGGCAGCUGCACCAUCUGUAACCAGGGAAACCACCUCCAGGCACACCGCAAGUGCCCUAAGGUGUCCUCACGUGAAGAUACCCAGCUGCCUGGGUGGGGUGAUGUCAGUGAAGAACAGCUGAGGCAGGGCUCGUGGCACAGAAGCACCUGCCCUGGCCGAGGCUUGGGACAGGGAGCUCGUUGCUCCAGGCCACACUCUGGAGCAGAGCCCAGGUGAUGAAAAGGCUCAUGUCCAGCAAGAGGUCCUGUGAAGUCCAGCUCCUAGGAAGGGCUGCAAGGAGGAGCUGUGGCUGCACUCACCAGCUGAUGUGCUGAAUGCCCCCUUCGCGCUCCUGCCUGAGCUGCAGGUAUCUCUGGAUGGCCUUCUUCAGGUCCAGGACUGUGGCGUUCUGGACUACAACCACAGCUGCACAGAUGGGAGAAGAUCCGUGGUGGGAAUCCACAGCCACAGCCUCAGAUGGCAGGAGAGGAACCCAGAAGCUUCUUCCUGAGGCUCAAGGCUGGGCAGGGGGAGCUUGUAGCUGCCCCAACAACCCUGGGCACGGCCCUGAGUUUCCACUGACCAGCCCUGCUAACAUCUUCUCCCGUGAAGGUUCAGACUGCACGGCCUGAGGGGGAGGGCAGCACUUACGCAUAACUUCUCCAUCCAUCUUGCACACUCGGACUGUCAUUGCUUGGCCGUAUUCUAGUGCUAUUUGGGAAUUGACCUCUUCCAAAGUAACCUAGAAAAGACCAAGGCUGGAGGUGGGAGCUCUCUUCACCACCCCAAACAACAAAGAAAAACAGCUGACAGUCUUCAAAAAGUGGUGCCACAUUUUUGGGAGGUUCUUGCAUAUAUGUUAGGAUUUCCCGGUUUUUCAGCACUUUAAUCUCAUGUCUUAUCCACGUUUUCUAUGAAGUGGAUGGACGCUCGGGAGAAAUGGGCAAGGAGAAUGAAUCGCCUUGAGGAACAGCCCCUGGCUCCUCCGGGCCAGGUGCUGGGUGGGAGGAGGAACACUGGGCCCCACCUUCCGGCCUGAGAGCCCCCGAUCAUCAGGAUCCAGGGCCUCAGGCAAGGCUGGGGCACCAAAAAACGGUAAAAGAUGAACAUGUCAAUACAACCGUUAACGCAACAGAAGUUAAUUUAAAAAUUCCACGAUGGGCAAAAUAACAAGGACUUUAAAACAUGAGUGCCAAAACUCACUGAAGAUUGAGGAGAAAGGAAAAACCGGUAACAGUGAUCUUUUAUUUGAAAAUAUUAUUUUGUUUGCCGUAGGCUUUUAUAAACCAACUUUGCGUUUUAAAAACACGGAUGAAAAGUCA